rnacentral:snRNA from 1 species
GGGUGUGAGGAUGAUCUGGCUUCCACAUCUCUCACCCCUUUGAUCCCCAGAGUUGAUUUGGCUGAUCUGGCUGGUUAGGUGGGUGUCCCCUUUCUCCCUCACUGUUCCAUGAGUGUCCCUCCCAAAGCUGUGCACUUAGUCAAAGAGGAUAACCUUUCCAGGAUAGAGGAGGACCGGUCUUCAGUCAAGAGUAUACAAGUA